rnacentral:rRNA from 1 species
AGCUCCAAUAGCGUAUAUUAAAGUUGCUGCAGUUAAAAAGCUCGUAGUUGCAUUUCCGAGGCAAGGGAUUAGUCCGACCUUUGGUGGGUAUUUAAUCCUCUUGCCUCGUCCUUGAGUGGUGCUUCUUGGUAUUAAGUUAUCGAGGAGAUAGCCGCUCAUCGUUUACUGUGAGAAAAUUAGAGUGUUCAAAGCAGGCUUAUGCCGUUGAAUAUAUUAGCAUGGAAUAAUAAGAUAGGACCUCGGUACUAUUGUGUUGGUUUGAGAACCAAGGUAAUGAUGAAUAGGGACAGUUGGGGGUAUGCGUAUUCAGUUGUCAGAGGUGAAAUUCUUAGAUUUACGGAAGACGAACUACUGCGAAAGCAUUUACCAAGGAUGUUUUCA